UACAGUCAUAUCAUGUUGAAUCAUUGGUUCCCGUACAGUCUCCGAAGUUAAGCAAUGCCAAAUCCGGUCAGUACCUAGAUUGGUGAUCACUUGGGAAUACCAGGUGCUGUAAG